CGUCUGCCGGGCGUUCAAGUCUCCGGACUGUCCUCCUUUUCGUUAUCCACUGCGAGCCCGUUUCCGGAAAAACGGAGACGCAGUGGAACCCGUUAACAUCUUUAAAAACAUAAGUAUAUUAUUUGCUACUAAUUACUAUCACUAAAAGACGAAAUAUUCAUGUAAUUCCCGUUUGUUGAAGAUCCAAAGUCUAUUAAUAAGAAUUCUCGAAUGAAUUCUUCAAUUAUAAGAAUUUAAUAUUUUUUUGAUAGAAGAAGAAUCAUUUUCGAGCGGCAACGUCUACGUCGUUUCUCCAGCCAAGUACACAAAGCCGCAGUUCACUGCAGAUCGAUCGAUCGACACCCUUCAUCUUGUCCAGCCUUGAAAAUCCAAAAUCCCGACCGAGCACCGACUGCCCUUUGUCUCGGGUGUCCACUUGGCUUAUGAAGACUAAGGUCAAGAACACACAGUAACUUCUGAUCCAGCAUUUAAAAAACUAAUAAACUGUCUCGAAAAGUUCAUUCAGUAUUCACAAAAUAUUCGGUAUUCAUUACAAAAUCAGAGGGAAGUUCGAGCAAAAUGACACUGAUAUACCUUGUAGAACCG